rnacentral:rRNA from 1 species
CCUACGGGGGACUGCAGUGAGGAAUAUUGGUCAAUGGGCGCGAGCCUGAACCAGCCAAGUAGCGUGAAGGAUGACUGCCCUACGGGUUGUAAACUUCUUUUAUAAAGGAAUAAAGUGAGGCACGUGUGCCUUUUUGUAUGUACUUUAUGAAUAAGGAUCGGCUAACUCCGUGCCAGCAGCCGCGGUAAUACGGAGGAUCCGAGCGUUAUCCGGAUUUAUUGGGUUUAAAGGGAGCGUAGAUGGGUUGUUAAGUCAGUUGUGAAAGUUUGCGGCUCAACCGUAAAAUUGCAAUUGAUACUGGCCUUCUUGAUUACAGUUGAGGUAGGCGGAAUUCGUGGUGUAGCGGUGAAAGGCUUAGAUAUCACGAAGAACUCCGAUUGCGAAGGCAGCUUACUAAACUGCCACUGACAUUGAUGCUCGAAAUUGUGGGUAUCAAACAGGAUUAGAUACCCGAGUAGUC